rnacentral:tRNA from 1 species
GCCCAAAUAGCUCUGUUGGUAGAGCUUGAGACUCAUUAUCUCAGGGUAGUGGGUUUGUGUCCCAUGUCGGGCA